UGAAUACGAAAUGCUACGGCAUUGAAGUGAUCUAUGCCAGGCUUCCAAGAAAAUCUCGUCAUAUCUUAAGCAGUAGAUGCCUGUACCUUAAACCGACACAGGUAGGUAGGUAGAGUAUACCAAGGGGCGCGAGAUAACUCUCUCUAAGGAACUCGGCAAAAUAACCUCGUAACUUCGGAAGAAGAGGUACCCUUGAAAAAGGGUUGCAAUAACCAGACCCUGGCGACUGUUUACCAAAAACACAGGUCUCCGCUAAUUCGUAAGAUCAAGUAUGGAGGCUGACGCCUGCCCAGUGCCGGAAGGUUAAAGAAGUUGGUCAAUCUUUGGAUGAAGCUGGCGACUGAAGCCCCGGUGAACGGCGGCCGUAACUAUAACGGUCCUAAGGUAGCGAAGUUCCUUGUCGGGUAAGUUCCGACCCGCACGAAAGGCGUAACGAUCAGGGUGCUGUCUCGGAGAGAGACUCGGCGAAAUAGACAUGUCUGUGAAGAUGCGGACUACCUGCACCUGGACAGAAAGACCCUAUGAAGCUUUACUGUAUCUUGGAAUUGGGUUUGGGCCUUGCUUGCGCAGGAUAGGUGGGAGGCUGUGAAGAUAUUCUUGCGGGAAUGUUGGAGCCAACGGUGAGAUACCACUCUAGUAAGGCUAAAAUUCUAACUCUGAACCGUUAUCCGGUCAGAGAACAGUUUCAGGUGGGCAGUUUGACUGGGGCGGUUGCCUCCUAAAAGGUAACGGAGGCGCGCAAAGGUUCCCUCAGGCUGGUUGGACAUCAGUCGUAGAGUGUAAAGGCAUAAGGGAGCUUGACUGCGAGACCCACAAGUCGAGCAGAGACGAAAGUCGGCCUUAGUGAUCCGACGGUUCCACGUGGAAGGGCCGUCGCUCAACGGAUAAAAGUUACUCUAGGAUAACAGGCUGAUCUCCCCCAAGAGUUCACAUCGACGGGGAGGUUUGGCACCUCGAUGUCGGCUCAUCGCAUCCUGGGGCGGUAGUACGUCCCAAGGGUUGGGCUGUUCGCCCAUGAAAGCGGUACGCGAGCUGGGUUCAGAACGUCGUGAGACAGUUCGGUCCAUAUCCGGUGCAGGCGUUAGAGCAUUGAGAGGAGUCCCCCUUAUUACGAGAGGACCGGGGGGAAUACACCGCUGGUGUACCAGUUAUCGUGCCAACGGUAAACGCUGGGUAGCCAUGUGUAGCGCGGAUAACUGCUGAAAGCAUCUAAGUAGGAAGCCCACCUUAAGAUGAGUGCUCUCACCGCUAUAAGCGGGUAAGGUCACGGUAAGAACAACCGUUAUAUAGGCAUUAAGUAUACGUGCAGUAAUGCAUUUAGCUGAGAUGUACUAACAGACCGUGGGCUUGAC
rnacentral:rRNA from 1 species